GUCGAGCGGUACAGGGGUAGCUUGCUACCCGCUGACGAGCGGCGGACGGGUGAGUAAUGCAUAGGAAUCUGCCCGAUAGUGGGGGAUAACCUGGGGAAACCCAGGCUAAUACCGCAUACGUCCUACGGGAGAAAGGGGGCUUCGGCUCCCGCUAUUGGAUGAGCCUAUGUCGGAUUAGCUAGUUGGUAAGGUAAUGGCUUACCAAGGCAACGAUCCGUAGCUGGUCUGAGAGGAUGAUCAGCCACAUCGGGACUGAGACACGGCCCGAACUCCUACGGGAGGCAGCAGUGGGGAAUAUUGGACAAUGGGGGCAACCCUGAUCCAGCCAUGCCGCGUGUGUGAAGAAGGCCCUCGGGUUGUAAAGCACUUUCAGCGAGGAAGAACGCCUAUCGGUUAAUACCCGGUAGGAAAGACAUCACUCGCAGAAGAAGCACCGGCUAACUCCGUGCCAGCAGCCGCGGUAAUACGGAGGGUGCAAGCGUUAAUCGGAAUUACUGGGCGUAAAGCGCGCGUAGGUGGCUUGAUAAGCCGGUUGUGAAAGCCCCGGGCUCAACCUGGGAACGGCAUCCGGAACUGUCAGGCUAGAGUGCAGGAGAGGAAGGUAGAAUUCCCGGUGUAGCGGUGAAAUGCGUAGAGAUCGGGAGGAAUACCAGUGGCGAAGGCGGCCUUCUGGACUGACACUGACACUGAGGUGCGAAAGCGUGGGUAGC
rnacentral:rRNA from 1 species